CCUGACCUCGGAUCAGACGUGAAUACCCGCUGAACUUAAGCAUAUCA
rnacentral:rRNA from 2 species